rnacentral:rRNA from 1 species
GUUGAAGGAUUUGGAAAAUUCCGCUAAAGAGGGUGAAAGCCCCGUAGACGAAAUGCUGACAACACCUAGGAGGAUCCUGAGUACGGCGGAACACGAGAAAUUCCGUCGGAAUCCGCGGGGACCAUCCCGCAAGGCUAAAUACUCCCUAGUGACCGAUAGUGAACCAGUACCGUGAGGGAAAGGUGAAAAGCACCCCGGAAGGGGAGUGAAAUAGAUCCUGAAACCGUGUGCCUACAACAAGUCAAAGCUCGUUAAUGAGUGAUGGCGUGCCUUUUGUAGAAUGAACCGGCGAGUUACGAUUGCAUGCGAGGUUAAGUCGAAGAGACGGAGCCGCAGCGAAAGCGAGUCUGAAUAGGGCGAAUGAGUAUGUAGUCGUAGACCCGAAACCAUGUGAUCUACCCAUGUCCAGGUUGAAGGUGCGGUAAAACGCACUGGAGGACCGAACCCACGUACGUUGAAAAGUGCGGGGAUGAGGUGUGGGUAGCGGAGAAAUUCCAAACGAACUUGGAGAUAGCUGGUUCUCUCCGAAAUAGCUUUAGGGCUAGCCUCGGAAUUGAGAAUGAUGGAGGUAGAGCACUGUUUGGACUAGGGGCCCAUCUCGGGUUACCGAAUUCAGAUAAACUCCGAAUGCCAUUCAU